rnacentral:rRNA from 1 species
AGCGAACGUUAGCGGCAGGCUUAACACAUGCAAGUCGAGCGAGAAAGGGGCUUCGGCCCUGAGUAAAGCGGCGGACGGGUGCGUAACACGUGGAUAAUCUGCCCUUCAGUGGGGAAUAACGUUCCGAAAGGAACGCUAAUGCCGCAUGUCACAGCAAUGUCUCUGGACAAAGUUGGAAAAGGGGACGCCCGCAAGGGGUUCUCGCUGGAGGAUGAGUCCGCGGCCCAUCAGCUUGUUGGCGGGGUAAUGGCCCACCAAGGCGAAGACGGGUAGCUGGUCUGAGAGGAUGACCAGCCACACUGGGACUGAGAUACGGCCCAGACUCCUACGGGAGGCAGCAGUGGGGAAUAUUGCACAAUGGGCGCAAGCCUGAUGCAGCGACGCCGCGUGGGGGAUGACGGCCUCGGUUGUAACUACUUCUAGCAGGACGAAGGGUGACGUGACGGUACC